UGGACAGCCAUGGAGCUCAAGCCGUGGCGGCGGCGGCGCAUCGGUGAGCUCGGGGGCGCCACGGGCAACGGGCAAGAAGCUCAGCCUCGCGCACCGGGACACAGGCUUGGGCACAAGCUCACCCGCAUGGAGCUUCCUGAGAUCUAUACCCCUGUUAGGCUAUUCCUGCUUCCUCUCCUCCCCCUCAGCCUGGAAACCACAGCAUCGCCAAGUCGUCAUCAGCAACUCCGGUCUCCGGCGGCUGGACCCUACUACACACAUGAUGGCAUGGCGACUGGCAACCACAGCCACGCCCCCCGCGAUUCUACUCCCUCCGUCCGAUCUUUCAGCAAGAAUCUCACCUCGCUUUGGAUGAUGGGGAAUCUGCUGUCUCGUGGCAGCUCUUGCACAGCGACCGGCAGUGGGGGAGGAAGCAGUGGGGAAGGGAGCCAACGCCUCACAAACCCAAAAGCCUAGGGAGAGCAGCUUGAAAAGGAGAACAGAUAACAAGAUUCCCAAUAUUAGCCAUCUCUCUCUUUCGCUCUGUAUUCUGCACGGC
rnacentral:misc_RNA from 1 species